GACGUAGGAGGCAAGCGUUGUUCGGAAUCACUGGGCUUAAAGGGCGCGUAGGCGGGCGGUCAAGUCUGUGGUGAAAUCCUUCGGCUCAACCGGAGAAUAGCUGGAGAUACUGGCCGUCUCGAGGGGGGUAGGGGCAUGUGGAACUUCCGGUGGAGCGGUGAAAUGCGUAGAUAUCGGAAGGAACGCCGGUGGCGAAAGCGACGUGCUGGACCCUUUCUGACGCUGAGGCGCGAAAGCCAGGGGAGCAAACGGG
rnacentral:rRNA from 1 species